rnacentral:lncRNA from 1 species
AUACAAUGUUAUACUAAAGAUGAUCAUAAAUACGAGUUUUUUUAAAAAAAAAAAGAGGCACCUUCACUUUUUGAAAAUCGAUGUUAUAUAGAGUCUCAUUUUUAUUUUCCUUUCUUUCUCUUCAAGUCUAAACUUUUUCCUCUCUCAAUCUCUCUCUCCCUUUCUCUCUACUUCUCCAUUUGAAAAAAAUUCUUGAGUCUUUGAAGCUAUGAAGCACAGACACUCUUUGGUAAGGCGUGUCCCCGUGUCAGACACGUGUCAUGUUCGACACCGACAAAUAUAAUUAUACUGAAUUACGUGAUUUUCUAAAAAAAUAAAAUAGUUGUGUCUGCGUGUCAGUGUUCAUGUCUAUAUCAGUGCUUCAUAGUUUGAAGGAAAACAUCCAUUUUCAUGUGAUGACAUGCUAAAGGGGGACUUAAAUGAAUAAGGGUUUAAAACAUAAAAGUGAAUCAUGCUAAGCUUAAGGUAACAAAACUAUGCCAUCUCUCUUUUUAAAAUAUGGCCGUAGCCUAUGGUGGAGUUUUGGGCGAGUUAGUUUACAAAACAAUCAUGCUUAGUCAAUCUAUUUGUUGAUUGUGUCUUCGUCGUUGAUUAUUUUAAAUGGUAUGUUUAUGUGUUUUUAUUACAAAAGUUAUGUAAUAUUAACUCAUCGAAAAAUGUUAAUAUGUAUUUGGCCUGUGUUGUUAAGACUUGAAACUGCUAGAUUUAUCAAUUUGCUAAAGGUUGAAAAUGAAAAAGAAUGCAUGGCUCUAAGUUCUAAAGAAGUUGAGGCAUGCUUGUGGUAUAUAAGGUUUCAAGUUUGAAUUUAUUCUUGUGAUGUAAAUAUUGCAUUUGAAAUGAGAAGUUUAAAUUAAAAAGAGGUUUGACAUUAUGAUCAAAGUACGUAGGAAAUGAAAUAGAGUUGGAAACUUGAUUUUGUGAGUUUUUUUUUUUUAUUUUAUUUUUUUAUUUUUUUUUUGUGUGUGUAUACACCACCUUAAUCGUAAAUCCUAACUAAGUUUGUAGGAAGCAGAUCCUCUUCUGCCUCUCUCUCAUGCUUUUUGUCCUGCUCUUGAUCUGAAUCAUCCAUCAAUUAACUUGUGUUGUU